UGGGGAAUCUUGGACAAUGGGGGCAACCCUGAUCCAGCCAUGCCGCGUGAGUGAUGAAGGCCUUAGGGUCGUAAAGCUCUUUCGCCUGUGAAGAUAAUGACGGUACCUAGUAAAGAAGUCCCGGCUAACUCCGUGCCAGCAGCCGCGGUAAUACGGAGGGGACUAGCGUUGUUCGGAAUUACUGGGCGUAAAGAGUUCGUAGGCGGACUAGCAAGUUAGAGGUGAAAUCCCAGGGCUCAACCUUGGAACUGCCUUUAAAAGCUGCUAGUCUAGAGACCGGAAGAGGUUAGGGGAAUACCUAGUGUAGAGGUGAAAUUCGUAGAUAUUAGGUGGAACACCAGUGGCGAAGGCGCCUAACUGGUCCGGUACUGACGCUGAGGAACGAAAGCGUGGGGAGCAAACAGGAUUAGAUA
rnacentral:rRNA from 1 species